ensembl:lncRNA
GUCGAUAUAAUCCAAGACGGAGCGUUAACUCUUUGCAGUGCUUACAGUAAAAACAGCUAACGUAUCAAACCCCAGGCAGAUGUGUACAGGUAUUAACUUCUUAAAAACACACUCUAUUCAGCUGUUGUACAGAAGACGUUUUUAAGGUACACGACGAUGAGAGCUUGAUGAAGAUGUGUUGGUAUGAUCACUUUUCCCUCACUUUGCUUAUUUCCUUUUUUUUUUCCCUAUCUUCGGGCCAAGUGCUACUAUUUUAAAAGCAUGGCGAGGCCCAGUCAUCUGGACCAUUAGCUCGUCUCACACCCCACUGGUUUCCGGGUGGUUGUGGAACACUACUAUGAUGCUACUGAAAAACGACAGAGUCGCUGGGGAAGAAAAAGAGUGCGCGUGUGUGCAAGGGGAGGGGGGGGGGGGGGGUUGGUGUGUGAAUAUUACUAUUCUUUUUUUCGUGCCCUGUAAGUGUGUAUUUACAUGUGUGUAUGGAGUGCGUGUGCGUUUUUUUGUUUUGUUUUUUCCUCCUGGCAAGCAUGUGCAUAGAUGAUCUGCUCUUUCGGCGUGGGUAUUAUGCAUUAAUGUUAUAGGAUUAUCCUAUUUCCACAUUUAGAUUUUUUUGCACAGAGAAGAUACAAUGUGAAAUGAGGCGUCAGUGCAGCUCGUAGGAAUUCUCUGUUUCGAUAAGCAACUGUGAUAAUGCGGGGUGGGGGAGGGGAGCAAAACGUUCUGCAUGGUCACCCCGGCCUAAAGUUAGAGACGACAUCAUUACCACAUCAGGGUGGCCGCGUGCUGUAUUUGUGGCCUCGUGCUCAACUGAGGUCUCGUCUGUGUUGUUAUUUGCUUUGAAGUUGGCAUAACAGAGUAAGUAGGUAAGUAACUUUACUUACUUAUAGCCCUUUUGCACUUGUACCUACUCAGCUUGACUUGACCCGGUUUUUAAGGGUUUUCGAGUAGGUGGUAGUACCUGCUACCAGGUUCUUUUUUUAGUACCUUCUCGGCGGUUGUUCUGAGGCUAACCGAAAAUGUUACAUCAACAGGCCACAUGGCACUGAUUGCCUAGCCAGUGGCGUCAUUCCACAAGUCAUGACAGCGACUCCUUCACCAAAAUUUUUGAAACUCAGCAAGGAGAAAAAUGGCUACACAAACAAACAACACUGUGGUCCUCGAGUUUGACAAAAAGAACUAGACCGAGCAGCAGGUAGCUCAUCCUCCAUUGUUGUGUUGUGUUUGUGUCAUGGGACUUACUGUACUGUAUUUGGUACUCGAUUGUAAUGGAAAACAACCAAAUUUGAGUCAGUCGAGUUGAGUAGGUACUAGUGGAAAAGGGCUGUUACUUACUUACGUCAUUAAUUGCUUGGACGUUGGUGUAAAAAGAUAGUAAGUAAAAUCAGUCAAGGUGAUUUUACUUACUUAUUUACAUAACUGCUUGGAGGUUGGCAUUGUUGGGAUCACGACUGUCAUUCGAUACUGUAUUUUUGGGGGAGAGGAAAGCAAAGCAGGGUAUUUGAACUUUUUGUCAUUCCCAAAUCCGAAUCCUUUUUCAGUAAUUCACAAAGAGGUUGGUGUGUGUGUGGGCCCGGUUCACUCAUGAAGGCUAGGAUUCUUGUGUUUUGCCAUAAACUUUAUAAUAAUUUCUCCUGCGCAGUCAUUAUCAUGCAGUACCCGAUUCAUCUUUGCCGUGCCCUUACGCUGAUCUGUCACCGUUUCUUUAUUUUGCUUCUUGUCUUUUUUUUUCUUUUUUCUUUUCAAGAAUUCAAAAUUUUAAAAAAUAAACUGUCUAAAGGUUCAUAGGAUGAAUGGGAAAGUAUUUUUGAGAGAAUUAUAUUUUGCUGGAAAACAAUAUUUAAGUACUUUGUCUAAAAACGAUAUCCUUUUUGUAAAAUGAAAUGUUAUUGCAUGCUUUUUGAUGAGAUGUUUACAUUGUAUUUAAAAAGAAAAAAAGGGAAACUUGUGCCUUUUUAUCUCACCUGAUUUACAGUUUUACAGUAUAUAUUGUAAAUAAUACAGCAAGUCCUUAUGUUGAGUGUAGUAUAAAACAUUUCUACUUUAACCAUCUUGUUGGACUAUUCAAGAAAAAAAAUGACAAAAACAAACAAACAAAAAAAAAAUUAAUGUGUGUUUCCCACUCGCCAUGUCCUGUGUGUCGGAUCACAGAGGAGAAUUUCAAGAAAGGGGUUGGCACCAGGCAAAGGGCCAAACAGAGAAAUGAAUGUAUCAUACAUCGUGAGAGACUUAUGGAACUUACUACCUGAAUGUUAGAGAGAGAACAUUUAUUAUCUUCUUAUUAAGUAAAAUUAUUUGAUUCUGCAUCUUUUUUCUGUUUUUUACUUUUUGCAUUGUUGUUCCCCGACUCAUAGAGAAAAAACAAACAAACCACGAUUUAAAAAAGGAUUUAUUUUGUAACGAGAUGUAUGAAGUGAUGGAUCCUUGUUGCUGUUGAAAUGAUUUCCUAAUCCGUGGCGGUAAUUGUUGAUGAGCACCACAAUAAAAAUCAAGAAGUCACAAACUAUUGAAACUGCGGCUAUGUGACAGAACAUUAUUUUUGGCUUUGUGCACACACUGAGAGAAGCUGCGGUUUACCCGACCAUCCAGCCAAUUUCAAUUAUGCCCCCCCCCCCCCCUUUUUUUUUUCUUCUUCUGGACCUUCAAAUUAAAAGUAUCAAAAAAUGCAAAGAUGAUGUUGUUAUCAAGCUCCAUCUCCUUUAUCGUCCUCCAGAUAUAUGAGCUGGCUAUUUUUUAGAUAAAUACUUUUGGAUAUAGUUUAGUGGGACACGCACUUGUUCGCUUGCUUGCAGAGAGUUAGAUAAGAAGAUGAGCGUCACUCCAGUGUUGAAAUCAGAAAUCUGCUUAGGCUGAACAUAAAGACUGGAAACAAGAGGAAAUAGCAGGGAAUGGUGUCGUUUGAGGCGCCGUCAGGCGGGGCUCAAGACCACAGUGUUUGAAUAUGAGCCACUGCUGGCAUAAUAGGAGAGGAGACAGACCUGGCACUCGCACAACGGCAAAGGUCACGGUAGAAGCAUCAUUUUUAGAGGUAAAACCUUUUUAAAAUGUUAUUUAGGGGCAGAUUCUGCAAUUCGUUUUAAACACUUAUGGAGGUUUAAUGUCCCAGUGAGCAUUCAAAUUCAAAAUAACUGCCCGGAAUCAACGUGUGGAGGCAUUUGUUGAAGGGCUUUGGCGCCAUCAGUGGUGGAGUUGCAUUGUGGCUGAUGUGAGAGUGUCUACAGUCAGUCUGGUAAAUUUUGGGGAAAUUGAAUUCUAAAACAGCCGACUGAGAGCGGUAUCAAAACAUCUCAUCUCCUAACUCUCCGCUAAAAGGGACUGUAAGUGUGUUUCCCCCAAGUGUCGAGGCAAUGCUUCGGAGGAGCAAGAUUAAUGUAUUGUUUACUUAAUGGUCAUCAAUCACCGCCCACUGCAAACAAUAAAAUCAACCCUUACCCCCGUACUUGGGGGAGCGGCUCUAUCUUCAAAGCUGUCCUAAAUGAACUCCCUCCCUGUCGGCUCGGGAUAACUCGGGAUAUUUGUCUGGUUUUUUUUUUCUUUCUAACUGCAGUGUCACAGUACACUUUGGUGGAGUCACUGUACGUGGAGUCCCAUCAUCACCAUUCUCUGUUCACAAUAAUGAUUCGGGUGUAGAGAGACUAAGCCAUAUCUCCACAGCCAUGGCAGUGCAUUUUCUUAUAAAUAUAUACAACAUUUUUUUUCCUGUUUUUUUAGUUUCUUUCUUUUUCCAAUUUGAAAAUUGACUUUUUUACUCAGAUGCUUUGUAUAAUAAUUCUCAGCAAACAUACAGUAGACAACCCUCACUAUAAACCAAUAAAACAUCUUCGAAAGCAGUUACUACUGUAUAUCUUGAUGCAGAUAUUGCCAUACUUGUGUUUGCAAACUAUUGCAAGAUUCUAAUAAAAAAAACAUUAAAU